rnacentral:rRNA from 1 species
UACCAGCACCCCCGAGUGGUCGGGACGUUUAUUGGGCCUAAAGCAUCCGUAGCCGGUUCUACAAGUCUUCCGUUAAAUCCAACUGCUUAACAGGUGGGCUGCGGAAGAUACUAUAGAGCUAGGAGGCGGGAGAGGCAAGCGGUACUCGAUGGGUAGGGGUAAAAUCCGUUGAUCCAUUGAAGACCACCAGUGGCGAAGGCGGCUUGCCAGAACGCGCUCGACGGUGAGGGAUGAAAGCUGGGGGAGCAAACCGG